GACUGCAUAGUGUAGUGGAUUAGAUUGUCUAAUUUCAAAUUAGAAGGUCAUGGGUUCAACUCCAACUGUGGUUG
rnacentral:tRNA from 1 species